GAGAGGGUAAGGAUAUAAAGAAGUGGGAUAACAGUAAUAUGGAGAGGGUAAGGAUAUAAAGAAGUGGGAUAACAGUAAUAUGGAGAGGGUAAGGAUAUAAAGAAGUGGGAUAACAGUAAUAUGGAGAGGGUAAGGAUAUAAAGAAGUGGGAUAACAGUAAUAUGGAGAGGGUAAGGAUAUAAAGAAGUGGGAUAACAGUAAUAUGGAGAGGGUAAGGAUAUAAAGAAGAAAUGACAUAUCUAUUGGAAAUUCCUUCUGUUUCACACCAUGAUUUUAUCUUUGCAUUUAUUUAUACAUUUUGGUAGGAAUUCUUAGUGAAUGUUUCAGGAGAAUGUCAUUUUUGGAUCACGCAAAUAUAUGUACGGCUAAGGCUUGUUCUUCAGACCAAAAUACUUCUUAUCAACAAUGAUGUUACGAUUUUACAUUAUUCUUCUCCAGCAUUAUGAACUGUGCUUUACUAUGGCAACACAUACAGCUGCAGCGAACACUGGAUACUCACAGUAGGUAAACAGUUGUGAAGUGUCAUUUCAGGGUAUUGUUAAGCUACAUGAAAGCAACAGACUUUCUAAAGGGCUUACUCAUCUCUUCACAUAUUCAGCAAAUUGACUUAGUGUGGCUUUAGAAUGACGAGAAAACUUUCAUAGAUGGAAUUUUGUUUGCAUUUUACGCCUCAAUUGUACAUAUGUUACAUAGACCACCCAUAGUAAAUAUUUCUGUCUCAGAAAAGAUUGUUAUGAACACUUGUUAUGUAUUCAAAUGCAACAAUGUGAAUUUGUGCCCUUUAAGUCUUCUUCGUCUUCUUUGAGUCCUUUACAGUGAAAUUGUUUUUGUACAUAUGUAACAUAGUUUGUGAGUAUUGUCAUGGUGGAUUAUAUUGUAGGAAUCAUGGUUAUGCUCACAAAUUGCAACAUGAAUUGGGAUAUAAGAUACCAUAAGGAUAUUAUCAACCAUUCUUCAGGUGUUCAUUUGAUCAAUUAUUUUUUCAGGGUAAAGUUUGUUAAAAUACUUAUUCCAUUUAACAAAUGUUAGAGAAAACAUUUUCAAAAAGGGUUUUCAUCUUAACAGAGAUGCAAGUUGUUAUUUAGCUAUGUGAUUCAGCUUUAAAAAGACAUGGUAGAAAAGUAUCUUGUUGUGCCUCAGUAUUAACAGAAUCUUCGUAAGUACUUAAGUAAUUUAUACAUAAAACUAUGAUAUAGAAAUUACACUACUUUCACUGUCACCUACUUCUUGCACAAUACCAGUUGGGGUUCACACAAUUCACUUGUUUUGUUUAAUUAAAUUGUUGGACAAACUUUAGCUGUAUGGAUUAAAGUGAAAUACCUCACCUGUUUUCACUGAGCCAUCAUUCUGUUCACAAACUCAACUGGUGUGGCCACACAGCACUUUAAAUAUGUUCACAUAAAAUUGCUUAAAUCAAAAUUUAAUUUCUCACUUUUAACUUGAUAAAUUAUAUUGUAAAAAUUCAAUCUAUGCAAAUAUGCUAUAUACUUUGACAAAGAACCAUGAGUGAAUUGUUUACAUUCUGACAGAUACAAUAGGCCUAGAAAGGUUAGUGCACUGGUGGGUAUGUUUCACGUGUCUUUGUCUUAUGGGUCUGAAGCAAUAAGGCAAACCAGUAUUUCUUCUUGUUGUCAGCUGGUGUUAUUUACUUAAAGUGAAACUGCAUUACUGCAGAUUGCAUCUGAAAAACAUUUCUCAUGCAUUCUGUUAAAUGCCAUCAUGUACAGCAUUUCUUUCUGCUUACAUUGCUGAAAUUAGAUGUAGGCGGAUGAAAUCAAACUUGUUUUUCUUCUUAAGGCAGACAUGUAGAAAUAUGUGAUACUAUAGAGACCCACUGGGACCUUUGUUAUUGUUGCUCUUUAAUGUGAUAAUGUAAUGAUGGAUUGAUGACAAGCCAAUGAAAACUAUGUAUUGUUAUGAACAAAUAUGUAUGCUUAUCAACUGAGCACAAAUUUUAUAAACUGUUUUCUGCACAAGAAGAAAUAUAUUCUAGCUAUCGAGAAUACAUAGAUUGUUAGAAUUGAUUUUUUUCUGUAGAGUUUAUGUAUUGUCAGUUAUAGCAUUCAUAAUAUAAAUUGCAACCCAUCUCUCUCUUCGAGGUAUUUUGAUGGAUGUGGUAAUUAACUGUAAAUUACAAACAUUCUUUUAUUGAAAGCAAGGAAAGAUGAGAUUAUGGAGUAAUUUACUGACAACAUCAUCACCCCAGCAUCUCCUUUUCAGUAGUAGCAAACUUGACAUAAAAAUUAUUAUUAUAUUAUGGGUUUAUGUUAGGGUUAAACAUAUUCAUGAUAUAUCUCGUACUAUGUUUGUUAAGAUUAAUUUAACAAGUUUUUGAAUGUCACUGAAAGAGCCAUUUUCAGCUUUAACAAAAUUGAAUGCCGAGUAAAGGCAUUCUUAAGUGAACGCUAUCUGUCAUUGUUUUGGGGGUUGUAAGUCUGAAGACUCAAAUUGCAGUUGUCGGCACAGAAGAUUAUUUAAUCCAGGUUUCUUUAUAUAUUGCUUAUUUUUAAUGAAGUAGAAAAAUCUGAAAUUUCCACAAAUGUUGCAGUUUCUGAGAAAUGCAAUAUCUGUACAAUAGGAUAAUGCCAAAAGACAUAUUAAGGAAGGAAGCUGACUUAACCAUUACUCUUUUUGUGGACAAUGUCUCUGAAUGUAAAUCAUUUUCAACUGUAUCUUUUACGUAAGCAGCAAAUAAGUUAUCUUCUGUAAUUUAAACAUGAUAGAUGAUGUGUAAUUGCUGCAAGGUAAUUUUGUAGCUGUGUCGACAAUGAUGCUAGAAAUGCCAGCAAGCAUCAACCAUCCAUCCCAAGGACAGGUGCUUGAAUCUCUCCUUACCUCACAGUCGUUUUGUCUCUGCCUCCCAUUCCAUCAAUGUUUACCAUGGAUAGGUAUUGUGGUGUUUGGUACUCCAAAUUAUUAACAAGUCUGAUAUUGUUUUUAUUGUCUUUUGAAUAAAGGGUUGAAAGCUU
rnacentral:lncRNA from 1 species